AUUGAACGCUGGCGGCAGGCCUAACACAUGCAAGUCGAGCGAGCGGCGGCCGGGUGAGUAAUGUCUGGGAAACUGCCUGAUGGAGGGGGAUAACUACUGGAAACGGUAGCUAAUCCCGCAUACCAUCAGAUGUGCCCAGAUGGGAUUAGCUGGUAGGUGGGGUAACGGCUCACCUCGGCGCCGAUCCCUAGCUGGUCUGAGAGGAUGACCCGCCAAACUGGAACUGAGACACGGUCCAGACUCCUACGGGAGGCAGCAGUGGGGAAUAUUGCACAAUGGGCGCAAGCCUGAUGCAGCCAUGCCGCGUGUGUGAAGAAGGCCUUCGGGUUGUAAAGCACGUUCAGCGGGGAGGCGUUACCCGCAGAAGAAGCACCGGCUAACUCCGUGCCAGCAGCCGCGGUAAUAC
rnacentral:rRNA from 1 species